CCCCUCUCAGGAUCACACCUGGAGAGUUUCCAGUACCCUACCAGUUUUGGCAACAGGAGGGAGAGUCAAGCAGAGGCCUACCCAUUCCUUUCCUAGCUUGGGCAUUGGCUAGCGAGUGGAAGGUCAUCUCCUACAAGU